GUGCUCGCUUGGGCAGCACAAUUGGUAAAAUUGGAAUGAUACAGAGAUUAGCUUGGUCCUUAUGCAAGGGUGACAUAAAUUGGUGAAACGUUCCAUAUUUUA
ensembl:snRNA U6 U6 spliceosomal RNA